rnacentral:rRNA from 1 species
UACGUAGGGGGGCAAGCGUUGUCCGGAUUUAUUGGGCGUAAAGAGCGUGUAGGCGGCUUGGCAAGUCCGCUGUGAAAACUCGAGGCUCAACCUCGAGCUGUCGGUGGAAACUGCCUGGCUAGAGUCCGGAAGAGGAGUGUGGAAUUCCUGGUGUAGCGGUGAAAUGCGCAGAUAUCAGGAAGAACACCUAUGGCGAAGGCAGCACUCUGGGACGGUACUGACGCUGAGACGCGAAAGCGUGGGGAGCGAACAGG